GAUGAACGCUGGCGGCGUGCCUAAUACAUGCAAGUCGAGCGAAUGGAUUAAGAGCUUGCUCUUAUGAAGUUAGCGGCGGACGGGUGAGUAACACGUGGGUAACCUGCCCAUAAGACUGGGAUAACUCAGGGAAACCGGGGCUAAUACCGGAUAAUAUUUUGAACUGCAUGGUUCAAAAUUGAAAGGCGGCUUCGGCUGUCACUUAUGGAUGGACCCGCGUCGGAUUAGCUAGUUGGUCAGGUAACGGCUCACCAAGGCAACGAUGCGUAACCGACCUGAGAGGGGGAUCGGCCACACUGGGACUGAGACACGGCCCAGACUCCUACGGGAGGCAGCAGUAGGGAAUCUUCCGCAAUGGACGAAAGUCUGACGGAGCAACGCCGCGUGAGUGAUGAAGGCUUUCGGGUCGUAAAACUCUGUUGUUAGGGAAGAACAAGUGCUAGUUGAAUAAGCUGGCACCUUGACGGUACCUAACCAGAAAGCCACGGCUAACUACGUGCCAGCAGCCGCGGUAA
rnacentral:rRNA from 1 species